rnacentral:rRNA from 1 species
UCGAGAAUAGUCUACAGUGGACGAAAGUCUGAUAGUGCAAUUCCGCGUGGAUGAAGAAGCAUUUCGGUGUGUAAAAUCCUUUUCUCUAUGAGCAAAGUCUUGAAGGUGAAUAAUUUUUAGGAUAAGAUAUUAGUAGAGGAAUAAGUCUCGGCUAACUACGUGCCAGCAGCCGCGGUAACACAUAGGAGGCAAACGUUAUCCGGAUUUACUGGGCGUAAAGCGCGUGUAGGUGGUUUGGUAAGUAGAGCGUGAAAGCUCCUGGCUCAACUGGGAGAGGUCGUUCUAAACUGCCGGACUAGAGGAUGGUAGAGGGAGGUGGAAUUCCGGGUGUAGCGGUGGAAUGCGCAGAUAUCCGGAGGAACACCAGUGGCGAAAGCGGCCUCCUGGACCACUCCUGACACUCAGACGCGAAAGCUAGGGUAGCAAACG